AGCGCUCCGUGAAGACAGCCCUGUGUAGACCAGCUUUCAUUUUCAGUGCUCCCUUGUAUUUUCACUGCUUGAAUUCGAGUGAAGAUUUUCCCUCCUGACCUGGUGCCAUGCAGCUGCUCCAAUGCUGGGACAUCACUGGGCAAGGCCGAGACUCCUUCAGGCAUGUAGAAGCUUUAGAAGUGAAGACCAAACAGCGGCUGCAAAUCGAUCAAGGGAGCCUGAGAAGCCUGAGGAGCCUCCAGAGAGCUGAUGGUGGAUGGCAUGGGCUGCAGGAAGGCGCUGCUCCGCGGCACUCAGCCAUGUCCCCUGGCUGCUGUGGGAGCUGCCUCCCUGCAACCCAGCUGUGCUGCACGGCGGCUCAGCAUCCCCAGGCAGUGCCUCCGGCCCUCUUCUGGGAAGCAAUUAUAACCCCAGGAUCCUACUAAUUUCCCAAGGGGAUUCGUAUCAAUACUGCUCAUAUUUGUAUAAAUCUCCAUUCCCAUAAAGGUUAGAAGCUCCGAAAGAAGAGAAUGAAACUUCGAAAAUGAGUGAGAUAAGUAACUGAAACAAAGAAGUUUGAUUUUACCCUACUUGGAUUCAUCAAGAUAGUUCGAAGGAUUCAAACAAAUAUGCUGUGUAAACAUUUAUUUCUAUUCUAUUAUUUCUAUUAAUUUCUAUUUUUUUUUAACAGAAAGUAUUCUAAAACCUGCUUACUUCCCCCCUUUACUAUCUUAUUUCUCUCAGCUUGAAUAGCUAAAAUUUAUUCACCAGUUUUGCUCUUGUAGUGAUUUCAAAGCUUUCAGGACAAAUGGUGUGAGGGAAGCCGGCUAUUAUUUUUUAUUUGAUUAAAAACUAAAAUGCUGAAACUUUUCUUUUGCUUCUGGGCAUCAUAAAUGGUUAAAGAGUUAUCUCCCAGGUCUGCUGCCCAAUUCUUUUCUCGCCACAGUGAUUGACCUAAAAAUCCAAGGUCUGCAAACUUCAUGCACUUGGUGGCUUCACACCUGCCGGUGGAGUUGCACACAGGAAAAUAGCUGGCUCAAUACAAGAACUGGUACCUGGGGGGGACAAGAGAGAGGAGAGCCAGGGCAGUCAUGGGGAACACAAGACUAAUCCUCCUGUCCCUCAAAUUGAAGCCACACACAAAGAAAGGGAUGAGCAAAGACAUCUCUGCAGGCGUGAGUGGGGAAGGGAUAAAUGGAAUGGUUCCCAGCAGUAGAAGUGCAGGCUGUGCCUUCAGCAACUCCUCUGCUGCUCUUAAGCCGUGCAGCACCUAAAGAAUGUCCUCGGGUAGGCAGAUGGCUCUGUGAUUUGUUACUGAUUUUGGUGGAACAAUUGCUGUCUUUCUAUCUGCUGCUCCCCAUCCAGGUUGGCAUGCAAUGCAGUGUUUUGCUUUGCUGAAGUUCUGUCUGCCAGAGUGAGCUGAAAACCAGAACAAGUUGGAUAGGAGCUCUGGACAUGUCCAAGAAAAACCUAGUUCUAGAGGAACGUGACAAGGUAAUGGUUGGUUAGUGCCUUCCUGCAAAAGUAUAUAGCAAACAGCUUUUGAAUGAAAACUGACUGAAGGUGGGAAAUACAAAAACAUUUUCAUCUCAUAAACAAGUUUGAAUUGUUUUGCUCUUCUAACUCUGAAGAGAAAUGAAAAACUCAGCAUUCAAGGGGUUGUUAUUGCCCCAGAAGGCAUGAGGGAAGUUUUUCACUCCCUUCACCCUCAGCCCACCAGGCAGGGUGAACAUGUUGGCUGCCCUGCUCAGCACUCCUUACCCUGAGUUUGCAAGCCAGAUGUCACAUUUCCUCUGCCACCCAGACAGCCUGGCUGUCCCACCAAGCCAACUUCUUUUUUGACAACAACCCCAAAACAAACCACAGCCACAUCUACAGGAAGCCCCUCAGCUUGGUGAGGACAUUUAGAUCAGCCCGGAGCAGUGUGACUCACAAAGGUGCUUACGUUUCUCGGAAUAUAUAUUUAGGAGAAGCCAAAGACUAUUUUGAACUUUCAACAGUUAAAGAAAAUACUGGAAUAACCUGCAGCUCACACUGAUUCACACUGAUCUAUUGCAGAAGCUACUCCCUUGUGGGUAGGUAGCAUUAAACCCACCACACACAGGGCCUUUGGGUCAGCUGGUUUCUGCUCCCCAUCACAAGUCAGCUGAAAUUAUUUGCAGGACACAGAUAGAAAAAUCAUGGCACUGGAGAAAUUGCUGCUAGUAAAUCAUCUCUGCUGCCUGGCUGGCAGCUGACAGAUAAUAGUUACCAUCAGAAAGAGUGACUGAUAAUCAAUUGAAGAAAUACAGACAGUAUUUCGGAAAAAAAAUAGCCUCACAGCAAUUUUUAGACAAAAAGCUUCUUAGUUACGGAGUAAUCUCUUAAGAAAUUAGUGCUCAAGAAGCACGGCAAUUGAAGGUGGAAAUCACAAGAGAACUGCAGAGUGUUUUUUCAUAUUUCUAUUAUACUACAUUCUCAGUCCUAAACCAGGGACUAAAAAAUCUAUGCAACCGAUCCUUGUCUUCUGCUGGGACACAGACCUCUCCACAGGACAAGUAGGAAGUUUCCAAAUCCAUGUACAGGAAGAGGAAAAUGUUCCACUUUCUCCAUUUCAGCCUAUGACACAGCAGAACUAAGGAUACUGCUGUCCAACCUUUCCAGUGAUUGUUGUGAAUGUUUCCAGGACGUGACAGGUCAUUCUCCGGUGACUUGGCUAGCAGCAUCAUAUCUCCAUUUACAGACAAUUCUCCCAAAGACCUACAUUGGUUAAUGAUGUGAAGGAGUACCAGAAAAAAAAAAUCUUGACUUUCACAAUGAUCACAGGCUGCAGCCUGACCCUUAGCCCCCUUCACUUAGCUAGCCCUUCAUCUGUCCUUGUUCUUCUUUUUCUCUUCUGGCAUGUCUUUGCCAGUUUGUUCAUAAAUCCAGCACCACUUGUUGGCUUCCUUCCCCAGCAUAACUUCUGCAUUUGACUGUCAGAGACCACAAGCAGGCAGCCUUCUAUUUGCCUUAUAUAUUCAGUCAUGGGCAAGAGUAACUCGAUAGUUAUUUCUGACUUGUAGGCUCAGGAUGCAUCAGGAUGCAUGGGUUAACUGAAUUAUUUCAUUUUCAGAACUCUGAAGUGUGAAAUAGAUUCCAACCAUAACUGGUCAUGGAUUUUUCAUUAUCUCAACUGCUUUUGCUAAACAAGGACUAUAUGCAUUACAUAUAGUCAGCACUCAGUUACUAUCACUCAGCUGCAUCUGUCUCUAGUUUGGCGAUUGCAGGACUGGUCAUGGAGAUGCAUAUGACACUGGUGAGAACCUCCAUAUAUAUUGUAGUGUCUCCAUGAUGUUUAUUCAUCUCUCUCACAGAUCAUCCUAUAACUAUUUUCUUCUUGAGCUAGUAAUGUGAAUGGAGGAAGAGUCACUCUCCAGUGUUCAAUGCGAGUGGGAUUUUGUUUUCGACUUCUAGCCCAGUGAAUGUUACAGCUGAAGAGUGCCCUUACUGAUUGCAGAACCACAGAAUGGCCAAGACUGACAGGGACAUCCAGGUCGAUCUCGUCCCAUCCCUGUUCAAGCAGGGACACCCAGAGCAGGUGUCCAGGACCAUGUCCAGGUGGCUUUGGAAGACCUCCAGGGAAGAGAAUCCACAGCCUCUGGGCAGCCUGUGCCAGUGCACCUUCAAAAUUAAAACAUGUUUCCUGAUGUUCAGAGGGAAGCUCCUGCAUCUCACUUUGUGCCAUUUGUCCUGACACCAGGCACUAGUGGGAAGAGCCUGGCUACAUUCCUUUUACAGGUUCCCUUCAGGCAUUUGAUGAUCCAUGCUGGUAACAUGGAUCUUUAUAUCUGGGUACAAUAAUGCUUUGAAGGACAAAUAUAAUACCCAUUAAAUACUGUCCUAAUGUGCCUUUCUGUGUAAGCAAUUGCUUAAAAUUGGCACAGGAAAAUAAUAUAGCAGGAAAUAGUCUGUGUGACCAUGAACAAGAACUGAGGCACUAAUCAUUGCAAGGCUUGUAGUAAAAGAAAACAGAACUUUUUUUUUUCCAAAAAGCAGAGCUGCUGUGUUCUAGGUUGCUUCAGAAAAACAUUUCAGGAAAAUGAAAGUGACGAUGAUGUGCUUACCCAAUAAACACAUGAAAUAGCUCCUUGGAAGAUACUGAAAGAGAAUUCAUGAAUUCUUUCUACCUAUUCACGAAUGGGAAUGUCUCGGUAUGAAUUCUACUUUGCUUGAACAUGGGAGCAAGUGAGACAGGAGAAACAAUAGUUCACACUCGGUCACAACCUUGGUAGCUUCUGAAAUGUUAUUAAAACAUGAUGUCGAAGCUGACAGCAGUGAAGCUGGCACUCCUGGCUCCUGAGAACGUUAUUUUUUGGUUUCCAUAGUAAGUUUUAACAAACAGAGCUAGGACCUGGUUGGAAAAAAAAAAAAAAAAAAGAAAAUUUAUAAGGGGAAAUCUCAAGAAGUGGUGCUCUUCAAGGAGGUCUGCAGACAGAACAGAAAUGUUUAGGGAUCAAAACGGUUGAGGUCUGUCUCUCACGGGAGUUAUCAAGACUCCUGGUAUGAUAGUUCUAAACACUGCCGUGCAAUUAAGUCAUGUACCAACCAUGCUGAUGCAAAACAUACACCAGCACAGAGCCAGGUCUGGAGUCAAAGACUUCAGUACUGCAGUAACUUAAAGCCAAGGGUAUCCCCUUAGGAAUGUGGUGCUUGGCCCAGAAAGGGUAUCAUUACGUUCUCUUUUUAUGGCUUCCAAAUCCAGACAGUUCUAGGUAUAUAAUGCAGUUGCCAUUCAUUUUUUCAGUUUAAUGGACAGUUGUCCAGUUCUGAUUUCACUAAGAUAGACAUCAUAAAAUGCAGGUCAUUAAUUACAUCCCGUACCAUGGGGAAAACAACAUGAUACAAUGGAAUUGACCCAUUAAAGAAGAUGAAUUAACGGUGUGUUCUCCCUGAGACAUUGCUUAUGGCCAAUCCAGCCCAAGUGUGCAGGAAGAGUGAGCAAAGGGGCUCCAACUUACAACCAUACUUUGAAUAAGGGAGAUUUUUCGAGAUGUUUUUGUUCAAUUUUAAAUAAUAUUAUUCAUGACAUAUAGACUGUAUCAACAGUCUACAGGAUCAGUCUUCUAGUUGCAAAUUUUCCCAGCAUAAAGCUGCGUCCAGGUAUCCAAGACAUUGUCCCAUAUACCAUAUACCCAUAUUAUACAAGUAAAGAACUUUCCUAACAAAAAACCAUCAAGGUUUUCUGGCUCACAUUUGAAAAAUAUUUUAGAAUACCCAACCUGACCUCUGUGUGGCCAGACAUUGAUAUUUUGCUUCAACCCAAGAAUUUAUUAAGACUUACAUGAAAAUAUUCCAUCUUAACAUAGUACACAUCGGUAGCAUCUGAAUACAUAUUUACAGAUUUAUUUGAACUCUUCUGAACUGCAAUUCUACAACCGAGCAACAUAUCCAUAAGUGUUUCAUAAACUUUUGAACACUUACAUAUUUAUACAUAUAGUUUUUGCAUAUAUAUAUAUAUAAAAAUAUUUUUGAGACUCAAGGACUGAGAAUAGUCAAAAGGACAUUAUUGCUACAUUUCCAUAUUUACAAAAACAAUGCAUAAAACCAUUCAAACACUAAGCCAUUGCAAAAUAAGUUUCAACCCCCCCCAAAUUAUAAAAAUAUAAAUUUUAAGAAAGAAAAAACCCAAACUUUUUUCAGCUAAAUGUCCAUAAAGUAC